AGAGUUUGAUCCUGGCUCAGAUUGAACGCUGGCGGCAGGCUUAACACAUGCAAGUCGAGCGGAGAGAGGUAGCUUGCUACUGAUCUUAGCGGCGGACGGGUGAGUAAUGCUUAGGAAUCUGCCUAUUAGUGGGGGACAACAUUUCGAAAGGAAUGCUAAUACCGCAUACGUCCUACGGGAGAAAGCAGGGGAUCUUCGGACCUUGCGCUAAUAGAUGAGCCUAAGUCGGAUUAGCUAGUUGGUGGGGUAAAGGCCUACCAAGGCGACGAUCUGUAGCGGGUCUGAGAGGAUGAUCCGCCACACUGGGACUGAGACACGGCCCAGACUCCUACGGGAGGCAGCAGUGGGGAAUAUUGGACAAUGGGCGCAAGCCUGAUCCAGCCAUGCCGCGUGUGUGAAGAAGGCCUUAUGGUUGUAAAGCACUUUAAGCGAGGAGGAGGCUACUUUAGUUAAUACCUAGAGAUAGUGGACGUUACUCGCAGAAUAAGCACCGGCUAACUCUGUGCCAGCAGCCGCGGUAAUACAGAGGGUGCAAGCGUUAAUCGGAUUUACUGGGCGUAAAGCGCGCGUAGGCGGCUAAUUAAGUCAAAUGUGAAAUCCCCGAGCUUAACUUGGGAAUUGCAUUCGAUACUGGUUAGCUAGAGUGUGGGAGAGGAUGGUAGAAUUCCAGGUGUAGCGGUGAAAUGCGUAGAGAUCUGGAGGAAUACCGAUGGCGAAGGCAGCCAUCUGGCCUAACACUGACGCUGAGGUGCGAAAGCAUG
rnacentral:rRNA from 1 species